rnacentral:rRNA from 1 species
UUCUAAUAGAAAUUAUUAUUAGUAAAACCUGCUCAAUGAUAUUAAAUAGCCGCAGUUAUCUGUGCUAAGGUAGCAUAAUCAUUCGUUUUUUAAUUUAAAACUAGAAUGAACGGUACUACAUUUUAAAAUUAUUAUUUUUAUUUAUAAAUAAAAAUUAUCCUAAAUAUAAAAAGAUAUUUAUUAAUUAAAAAGACGAUAAGACCCUAUUGAACUUAACUUUAGUUAAACUGGGGAAGUUAAUUAAUUAAAAUUUUAAUAAAUUAAUAAUAUAAAAAUUAUCCAUUUUAAUUGACUAAAUCAAGUUACCAUAGGGAUAACAGUGCAAUAAUUCUUUAAAGCUCUUAUAAAAAGAAUUGAUUACAACCUCGAUGUUGAAUAAUUAUCCUUUAGACGAAAAAAUCUAAAACGAAGGUCUGUUCGACCUUUAAAUAAUUACA